AUGGAGCUCAAUGUUCACCUCCGUGCUUUUGAUGGUGAUCCCUUGUUUGAUCCUAUGCGUUAUCGUCAUCUUGCUGGGAACCUUAUCUAUCUAGCUGUCACUCAUCCGGAUAUAUCCUAUCAUGUCCAUAUCUUGAGUCAGUUUGUUUUCACUCCUACUUCGGUCCACUAUAGUCACAUUCUUUGUAUUCUAGAUAUCUUCGUGGCGCGAUCUCUCACCGUCUUUUCUUUCCUCGCUCCAGUUCGUUACAGCUUCAGGCCUAUCUGGAUGCCAUGUGGGCUAGUGAUCCUUUGGAUCGCCGUUCACUUUCUGCUUACUGUGUUCUUCUUGGUGGUUCCCAUGUUGCCAGGAAGAUGA
rnacentral:rRNA from 1 species